GGUUAAGCGACUAAGCGUACACGGUGGAUGCCCUGGCAGUCAGAGGCGAUGAAGGACGUGCUAAUCUGCGAUAAGCGUCGGUAAGGUGAUAUGAACCGUUAUAACCGGCGAUUUCCGAAUGGGGAAACCCAGUGUGAUUCGUCACACUAUCAUUAACUGAAUCCAUAGGUUAAUGAGGCGAACCGGGGGAACUGAAACAUCUAAGUACCCCGAGGAAAAGAAAUCAACCGAGAUUCCCCCAGUAGCGGCGAGCGAACGGGGAGCAGCCCAGAGCCUGAAUCAGUGUGUGUGUUAGUGGAAGCGUCUGGAAAGGCGCGCGAUACAGGGUGACAGCCCCGUACACAAAAAUGCACAUGCUGUGAGCUCGAUGAGUAGGGCGGGACACGUGGUAUCCUGUCUGAAUAUGGGGGGACCAUCCUCCAAGGCUAAAUACUCCUGACUGACCGAUAGUGAACCAGUACCGUGAGGGAAAGGCGAAAAGAACCCCGGCGAGGGGAGUGAAAAAGAACCUGAAACCGUGUACGUACAAGCAGUGGGAGCACGCUUAGGCGUGUGACUGCGUACCUUUUGUAUAAUGGGUCAGCGACUUAUAUUCUGUAGCAAGGUUAACCGAAUAGGGGAGCCGAAGGGAAACCGAGUCUUAACUGGGCGUUAAGUUGCAGGGUAUAGACCCGAAACCCGGUGAUCUAGCCAUGGGCAGGUUGAAGGUUGGGUAACACUAACUGGAGGACCGAACCGACUAAUGUUGAAAAAUUAGCGGAUGACUUGUGGCUGGGGGUGAAAGGCCAAUCAAACCGGGAGAUAGCUGGUUCUCCCCGAAAGCUAUUUAGGUAGCGCCUCGUGAAUUCAUCUCCGGGGGUAGAGCACUGUUUCGGCAAGGGGGUCAUCCCGACUUACCAACCCGAUGCAAACUGCGAAUACCGGAGAAUGUUAUCACGGGAGACACACGGCGGGUGCUAACGUCCGUCGUGAAGAGGGAAACAACCCAGACCGCCAGCUAAGGUCCCAAAGUCAUGGUUAAGUGGGAAACGAUGUGGGAAGGCCCAGACAGCCAGGAUGUUGGCUUAGAAGCAGCCAUCAUUUAAAGAAAGCGUAAUAGCUCACUGGUCGAGUCGGCCUGCGCGGAAGAUGUAACGGGGCUAAACCAUGCACCGAAGCUGCGGCAGCGACGCUUAUGCGUUGUUGGGUAGGGGAGCGUUCUGUAAGCCUGUGAAGGUGUACUGUGAGGUAUGCUGGAGGUAUCAGAAGUGCGAAUGCUGACAUAAGUAACGAUAAAGCGGGUGAAAAGCCCGCUCGCCGGAAGACCAAGGGUUCCUGUCCAACGUUAAUCGGGGCAGGGUGAGUCGACCCCUAAGGCGAGGCCGAAAGGCGUAGUCGAUGGGAAACAGGUUAAUAUUCCUGUACUUGGUGUUACUGCGAAGGGGGACGGAGAAGGCUAUGUUGGCCGGGCGACGGUUGUCCCGGUUUAAGCGUGUAGGCUGGUUUUCCAGGCAAAUCCGGAAAACUAAGGCUGAGGCGUGAUGACGAGGCACUACGGUGCUGAAGCAACAAAUGCCCUGCUUCCAGGAAAAGCCUCUAAGCAUCAGGUAACAUCAAAUCGUACCCCAAACCGACACAGGUGGUCAGGUAGAGAAUACCAAGGCGCUUGAGAGAACUCGGGUGAAGGAACUAGGCAAAAUGGUGCCGUAACUUCGGGAGAAGGCACGCUGAUAUGUAGGUGAAGUCCCUCGCGGAUGGAGCUGAAAUCAGUCGAAGAUACCAGCUGGCUGCAACUGUUUAUUAAAAACACAGCACUGUGCAAACACGAAAGUGGACGUAUACGGUGUGACGCCUGCCCGGUGCCGGAAGGUUAAUUGAUGGGGUUAGCGCAAGCGAAGCUCUUGAUCGAAGCCCCGGUAAACGGCGGCCGUAACUAUAACGGUCCUAAGGUAGCGAAAUUCCUUGUCGGGUAAGUUCCGACCUGCACGAAUGGCGUAAUGAUGGCCAGGCUGUCUCCACCCGAGACUCAGUGAAAUUGAACUCGCUGUGAAGAUGCAGUGUACCCGCGGCAAGACGGAAAGACCCCGUGAACCUUUACUAUAGCUUGACACUGAACAUUGAGCCUUGAUGUGUAGGAUAGGUGGGAGGCUUUGAAGUGUGGACGCCAGUCUGCAUGGAGCCGACCUUGAAAUACCACCCUUUAAUGUUUGAUGUUCUAACGUUGACCCGUGAUCCGGGUUGCGGACAGUGUCUGGUGGGUAGUUUGACUGGGGCGGUCUCCUCCUAAAGAGUAACGGAGGAGCACGAAGGUUGGCUAAUCCUGGUCGGACAUCAGGAGGUUAGUGCAAUGGCAUAAGCCAGCUUGACUGCGAGCGUGACGGCGCGAGCAGGUGCGAAAGCAGGUCAUAGUGAUCCGGUGGUUCUGAAUGGAAGGGCCAUCGCUCAACGGAUAAAAGGUACUCCGGGGAUAACAGGCUGAUACCGCCCAAGAGUUCAUAUCGACGGCGGUGUUUGGCACCUCGAUGUCGGCUCAUCACAUCCUGGGGCUGAAGUAGGUCCCAAGGGUAUGGCUGUUCGCCAUUUAAAGUGGUACGCGAGCUGGGUUUAGAACGUCGUGAGACAGUUCGGUCCCUAUCUGCCGUGGGCGCUGGAGAACUGAGGGGGCUGCUCCUAGUACGAGAGGACCGGAGUGGACGCAUCACUGGUGUUCGGGUUGUCAUGCCAAUGGCACUGCCCGGUAGCUAAAUGCGGAAGAGAUAAGUGCUGAAAGCAUCUAAGCACGAAACUUGCCCCGAGAUGAGUUCUCCCUGACUCCUUGAGAGUCCUGAAGGAACGUUGAAGACGACGACGUUGAUAGGCCGGGUGUGUAAGCGCAGCGAUGCGUUGAGCUAACCGGUACUAAUGAACCGUGAGGCUUAACCUU
rnacentral:rRNA from 1 species